rnacentral:lncRNA from 14 species
CCGGGAAGGGCGGGGUGAGCGCGGAUCCCCCCCUCGAGCAACGCCCCCUCUGUGACCCCGCCCUGAGGCCAGGCCGGGCUGCGCUGAGUUUGGGGCGGGCUCUGCCGGAAAAGGGUGAUUGUGUAAAUGUGUGUUUAUGUGUAGCUCUGUGUGUUUGUGUGUUUGUGUGUGCAUGUGUGUGUGUGUGUGUGUCUCUGUGUGUGUGUGUGUGUCUCUGUGUGUGUGUGCAUGUCUGUGUGUCUAUGGGUCUGUCUGUGUGUCCUUGUGUGCACGCCGUGUGUCUGUGUGUCUGUGUGCGCAUGCUGUGUGUCUGUGUGUCUGUGUGCCUGUGUGUCUGUGUGUCCAUGUGUGCCUGCCAGUGUUGUGUCUGUGUGUGCAUGCUGUGUGUCUGUGUCUCUGUGUGUCUGUGUAUCUGUGUGUACACGCUGUGUGUCUGUGUCUGUGUGUCUGUGUGUCUGUGUGUCUGUGUGUCUGUGUGUCUGUGUGCGCAUGCCGUGCGUCUGUGUGUCUGUGUGUGUGUGUUGUGUGUCAGUGUGUGCACGCCGUGUGUGUGUGUCUGUGUGUGCACGCUGUGUGUCUGUGUCUCUGUGUAUCUGUGUGUACACGCCAUGUGUCUGUGUGUGCAUGCCAUGUGUCUGUGUGUCCCUGUGUGCAUGCUGUGUGUCUGUGUGUCCAUGUGUGCACACUGUGUCUCUGUGUGUCUGUGUGUGCAUGCUGUGUGUCUGUCUGUGUGUCUGUGUGUCUGUGUCUGUGUAUCUGUGUGUGCACUGUGUGUAUCUGUGUGUGCACGCCAUGUGUCUGUGUGUCUGUGUGUCUGUGUCUGUGUGUACAUGUGUACACCGUGUGUCUGUGUGUCUGUGUGUGCUGUGUGCAUGUCAUGUGUCUCUGUGUGUGUGUGCACACCAUGUGUCUGUGUGUCUGUGUGUGCAUGUCACGUGUCUGUGUGUCUGUCUGUGUGUCUGUAUGUCUGUGUGUACACGCUGUGUGUCUGUCUGUCCCUGUGUGCAGGCCGUGUGUCUGUCCCAGCUCAUCUCCCCGUUCCCAUCCACCCUGCCGUGCUCCCACACCUUGGGGAGCCGCUGCCCUCAGUGCCCCGUGUGCCCAUCCUGCUGUGCCAGGUCCCCCAGGUCCCCCUGCCGUGUCACUGCAGGGACCCCCUGGCACUCACCCCGUCCCAGUGUUGUCCCCCUGCCGUGUCACCAUGGGGACCCCCUGGCAUUGAUCCCCUCCCGGUAUUGUCCCCCUGCCGUGUCACCGUGGGGACCCCCUGGCAUUGAUCCCCUCCCAGUGUUGUCCCCCUCGCCCCCAGGCCCUGACACCCCCCUGGUGCCAAUCCCCACUCACUGCUGACACCCUCAGACCCUGGCACCUCCUGGCACUCCCUGGCAUGGGGCUCGAGGUCUCCCCCAGCCCCGGCGCUUUGCUGCCGCGUUGUCCCGGCCUGGUGCGUGGCGGUGUCACCCGGGUGCAGCAUCCCGGUGGUGGCAGCACCCGUUCCGUGCCCGCGGGUGCCGCAGGGUGCGGGUGCCCG